UUGAUUGAUUUGUAUUCAAUACUCGACGCAAAUAUGCAGAGUUGAUUGGUCCUCUGGGGGACUCCCGGCCGCGGACGUCCGGGUCGCCCCCCGAGGCAACAGAUAUUAAUCGACAAAGGGUUGGAGAUCGGGCCUAUAAGACCCUAACUCGGUAAUGAUCCUUCCGCAGGUUCACCUACGGAAA
rnacentral:misc_RNA from 1 species